rnacentral:tRNA from 1 species
GGGGACGUGGGCUAGUUGGAGUGGCCGCAGCACUGUCAAUGCUGAGAUCGCGGGUUCAAGUCCCGUCGUUCCCGCCA